GACAGAGGGUGCAAACGUUGUUCGGAAUUACUGGGCGUAAAGCGCGUGUAGGUGGCGAGGCAAGUCGGGUGUGAAAGCCCUGGGCUCAACCCAGGAAGUGCACUCGAUACUGCCUAGCUAGAGUCCCGGAGAGGUUGGUGGAACUCUCGGUGUAGAGGUGAAAUUCGUAGAUAUCGAGAAGAACACCGGUGGCGAAGGCGGCCAACUGGACGGUGACUGACACUGAGACGCGAAAGCGUGGGGAGCAAACGGG
rnacentral:rRNA from 1 species